rnacentral:hammerhead_ribozyme from 1 species
AUCCAGUUGACAAGUUCAAAAUAGGACGAAACGAACGUCCUUGAU